GAGUUUUUAGUCUACCAAAUCACCACACUACCCUGCCAUCAACUCUGCUACAAGGAAGCCCCCUUAAAUAGAGCAUACCACACUCCCAGCUAAUGUUUAUAAAACUAAAUAUAUAUAUAAAUAUAUAUAUAUUGCAAACACAGCCAUAGUUCUUCAUUUCUCUUACAAGGAAACCACAUUACUCCCUCACUUCUUCCUUUUUGCAACCAAGCUUUCUGCAAUCAAGUUGUUUCUCUUAUUUUCCUCAUUUAGAAGAAUAUCGUCCCUCCCUCCUAACCAAGGACCUAUCUUUUUGGAAGAUGAUUGGACUGGGUAAAAAAUGAGAUGGUCUAUACUAUCUGCUACAAAAAUUUUAUGUCACCUCAAGUAUUCUGGCUCAAGAUUCUUUUCCUUCUGUCUCAAUAUUUUCUUACAAUUUCAAUUGUAUACCUCUUUCAAAUUACCAUAUAUGGCACUAUAGAUUAGGCUAUUUAUCAUCUGCUAGAUUGAAUUGGUUACACAAUGUUGUACUCGUACUCAAAUCUGAUAAUAAUAAUCAUCUUUGUACCAUUUGUCUUCUGUCCAAAUAGCAAAAAUGAUCAUUUGUUCCUAAUCAAACAAUUUCUCAGCAUUGCUUUAAUCUUAUUCAUUGUGAUAUUUGGAGACCCUUAUUCAGAUGGUUCAAAAUAUUUCUUGACCAUAGUUAAUAAUUUCUUGAGAAGCACAUGGAUAUAUCUCAUGAAACAAAACUCUGAUACACCUUCCUUUUUAAUCUCUUUAUUUAAUAUGAUUCAUACUCAAUUCAAUUCUAAGAUUAAAUAAAUCAGAAUUGAUAAUGGUCCUGAGUUUAAUCUUUCUUCAUUUUUCCAAUUUAAAGGUGUGUUAUAUAAAAAAUCUUGUGUUGAAACUCUACAACAAAAUAGUGUUGUAGAAAGAAAACAUUGACACUUACUCAAUGGCUAGAGCCCUUAGGUUUCAAGCCAAUCUACCUCUAAUAUUCUAGGGUAAUUGUAUAUUGACUACUACUUACUUGAUUAAUCAUAUUCCUACUCCCUUACUUUUCAAUAAAUCACUCUAUGAAGUUCUUUUCUCUGUUCCUCCCAGCCAUAAUCAUUUGAGAGUAUUUGAGUGCCUUUGUUAUGCUUCCACAUUGACCCAUAACAGACACAUGUUUGAUUUUAGAGCUCGAGCAUGUGUUUUCAUAGGAUACUAUUUUGGUAUUAAAGUAUAAGUUUUAUGAUUUGGAAUCCUAUUCAAUAUUUCUCUCUCGAGAUGUGAUAUUUCAUGAAUAUGUGUUUCAUUUCUCUUCCACUUCUUCUUUACCUACUACCACUACUGAUUUGAUUUUCUUACUUCUCUUCCUACAUCUAUUUCUACUCCUACUCUUAGAAGAUCCUUGAAGAAUAUACAAUCAUCUACUUUCCUAUAGAAGUAUCAUUGCCAUCUUUUCUCAUCCUCUCCCAACUCCUCGGACAUUCCUUCUCAGCAGCAAGCAAUUUCUAUCUCUUAGUCUCUUUCUAAUUUUCUCCCAUAUGAUCGAUUCUCUCUUUCUCAUAAGUCCUUUAUUGCUGCCAUAUCUUCUCAAAGUGAACCUCAAUUCUUUUCUCAAGCUGUUAAAGAUUCAUGUUGGUGUGUGGCUAUGGAUCCGAAAUUCAUAUACUUGAGGCCAAUAAUACAUGGACUAUCACAAUUUUACCUACUGGUAAGACUCUCAUUGGCUAUAAAUGGGUAUAUCAUUUCAAAUAUUGUUCUGAUGGCUCCAUAGGUGGUACAAAGCUUGUUUAGUAGCCAAAGGCUACACUCAACAAUAGGGCCUAGACUACCUUAAAACAUUUUUCCUCGUCGCUAAAAUGCUUAGUGUGAGAUGUCUCUUAGCACUUGUUGCAAUUAAACAAUAGCAACUUGUUCAAUUAGAUGUCAAUAAUGUUUUCCUUCAUGGAGAUCUUCAUGAAAAAAUUUACAUGCAAAUUCCAUUAGUUUUGGUAAAAAAGGGGAGAAUAAAGUUUGCAAAAUUAACAAAUCCCUUUAUGGGCUAAAGCAAGCUCAAGGCAAUGGUUUGUAAAACUGUCAAAUUCUAAUUUUAGCAUUGGCUAUGUCAAAUCUGGGUCGGAUUAUUCAUUAUUUACUAAAAGUAGUGGUUCUUCUUUUAUUGCUCUUUUAGUCUAUGUUGAUGACAAUACAAUUGCAAGCAAUGAUGUUGAUAAUGUAAAUUCAUUGAAGGCUUUUCUUGAUGAUAAAUUUUGCAUCAAAGAUCUAGGUUCCCUUAAGUACUUCUUGGGACUGGAAGUUGCUAGAUCUUCUUGUGGUAUUUAUAUUUGUCAAAGAAAGUAUGCUCUUGACAAACUUACUGAUUCAAGCAUGCUUAGUGCUCGACCUACUUUCCCUCCCGUGGAUCAAAAAAUUGAAUUGACCAAAACUAAUGAUUCUCUUCUUGAUGAUCCUACUGUGUAUAGAAGAUUAGUUGUACGUCUUCUUUAUUUGACAAUUACCCGACCAGACCUUACUUAUUCUGCACAAGUUCUCAGCCAAUUCAUAGACCAUACUCGAAAGCCUCAUUUGGAUGCUGCCUACAAGGUGCUUCAAUACAUCUAAGGUACCAUAGUACAAGGUGUUUUCUAUUCUACUUCCUUUGAGCUUCAUGUUAAAGCUUUUUGUAAUUUAGAUUAGGCUGGUUGCCCAGAUUCCUGCAAGUAAUUGACCUGAUAUUGUGUCUUCAUUAGAGAUUCACUGAUUUAUUGGAAAUCUAAGAAGCAAACAACUAUAUCAAGAAGUUCUACAUAAUCUAAAUAUUGAGCCAUGACAACCACUUGCUGUGAAAUCAUAUGGUUGCUAUAUUUAUUCACUGAUCUUGGUAUUUCUCAUCCCCAACUAGCUUUACUUUUUUGUGACAAUCAAGUUGCAUUAUAUCUUGCUGCAAAUUUAGUAUUUCAUGAAAUAAUCAAGCACAUUGAAAUCAAUUGUCACUUGGUUCGGGAUAAGAUUUAAGAUAGGAUUGUUAAAAUGCUCCAUGUUUCUUCCAAGAACCAGCUUAGUAACAUUUUCAUCAAGCCCUUACAUAGAGACCUCUUCACUACCUUAUUAAACAAGAUGGACAUUCAUAAUUUGACAACUCCAUCUUGAGAGGGAGUAUUGGUUAAAGUAAUUUAAAUUAGUUAGUGUGUAUACACUGCCACGUGGCAAAUAGUUAUCUAAUUUAGUUGUGUACAACUGUGUAUAUAUAAGAACUGCUUGAUACCCAUAAUGAAAUCAUCAGAAAUUCAGUUUUUUUUUUCCUCUACUUUAUCUUUUUCUCUUUAUAAAAGCAUUGAAAUUCUUCAAAAUGAAAGGAUUUUUUUCAUAAGAAAAAUGCUAUUUGGAUUAUACACCAUGGUAAUUGGAUCUUUCCGUUAUUCAGUGAGUUUUAUCUUGAAUUAAAAUUCAUUUGAAAUAAGAGAUUUUUCCAAUAUGUCAAGUGUGGUCAUAUCCUCCCAUUUCAUUGCACAUUUUCGAUUUCAUUGCUUUGUUAGACAAAAUGAAGAGAUUUUUUUUUUUUUUUCAAUGGAACCUUAUGCACACCAAGUAUGGGCAUGAUUGGCUUUGUAUAUGUAGUCAUUAUUACUUUAAGCGGAGAAAGUAGAGGACAACAAUAGAUAAAAGGAUGAGAAAUUGGGGAUUAGAGAUUAAAAAAAAAGGCCAUGACAUGCUGCUAUUGAGGAGUAAUACAAUAACUUGGUAGACUAUUUACUCGAUGUAAAAGACCAUUGAUGUACCCUAUUGUGUGAACCAAGGCCUUCAAAACAAAAAGAUACCAUUGAUGCAAUUGUGGAGAGGGUAAAAAAGUCUCAGUCUGAAUAUUGUGAAAGGUAAAUUGGAGUCUAAUGAAAGAAUGUACAAUACCCAUUAGAGUCUAAUAGAGAUCUUCCUUGAAUUGAUUAUUCCAAUUUACUUUUAAAUUGACACAAAUCUGAGUAUGUGGAUGUAAUUAUGACAAUUGUUUAGCUUUGAUGGCUGCCAUGAGAUAAUUGUUUAGCUUUGUACAAAAUUUUUGUCUAGCUUUGAUAGUUGCCAAUUGUUUAGCUUUGACAGAAAUUGUAAGAGCAAUUAUGAACAAUUGUAUGGUUGUUUUUAAUUGUAUUGGAAUUGACCGCGCAGGGUUUGAAUACCCUUUAUGAACAUCACUUGUAUGAACUAUGAACAUCGGUUUCACGAAUUUAUUUGGUUAUUUGAUGUUCUUAUUAUGUGUUGCACAACAAAGUGCCUAAAAUGAAGAAAACAAAAUCUUGAUGAUAUUCACGAGAACAACAUCUACAAGGUGAUCGACACAGUAUUACACAAUCUUCAAAAGUAGAUCUUUUACAAAAUAUUUUUCAACAUCUUAUUCAUAGAGUAGAAGGUAAAUCACAAUCUUGAAUUACAACAUCUCAUUCACAAAAUUGAAGAGUGGAUCUUUUAAAAAAGUAAUACAAAAGUACACUAUAAGCCUAAUACAAUAUAAGCCUAAUCAAAUAAUUGUCUGAAACUAUUUAGUAUAAUAUAAGCCUAAUAUUCAACACUAGUGCUUUCUACAUUGAUAGAGAUAAUCAUGGAGGAAGACCUUCUUUACUGGAGCCACCAUUUGCUCCAAAAUGGUUGAAAAUGAACAAGUUAAUUAUAAUGAACAAUCCCCAACAUGUGCACAAAUAUAAUGGUGCCACCUAUUUUUCACCUCCUGUUUUCGAAGAUUAUCAUACUUAUUUUCAAUAUUGUCUGUCAUCUGUAUGAGUUUAUCCUUGUUGUUUUGAGCUUAUAGUUCUCUUUUUAAGACUUUAUCUCCCAUUUUCUAAACUUGAAACUCUCUCUUUAAGACUCCAUCCCCCCUUAGCUAAACAUAAAGCUCUCUUUCUAAGGUUUCUUUCAUAAAUAGUAUUUAUGAGUUCAACUUUUCUAUUGUUAGUAUCAUUUACCUACUUGAAAAACUGUAUUUCAAAACCCAUUGAAAGCAACAAUUUAGUUAAUAUUAAGAACCUAUUAAUAUAUUGACAUAUUCACACUUUUAUAUAUAAUAGUGUGAGAAAUUACCAUGUUAUAUUUUGGGCAAGUAAUAAAUUGUCACCCUGGAUUUUUUGUAUGUGUGAUAUUUGGAGUGGUACUCUCAAACCGCACCAACAUAGGGGUAAGUCCAGCCAAAUCCUAUUGAUAAUAGCAAAUGAUUAUGAAGAUGCCAUACUUAACUAAGACAACCACUAGACCUCUACAUGAUAUGGACCAAUUUUUUAUAAGAUGCCAAUUUGUUGAAAAUAGAUAGCACAUAGCAACUAUAGUUAGUAUUUUGGGUUUGUACAUAUAACCAUUACAUGUGGUCAGACUUAUAAUUUUUUGAACUUAAGCUAGUAUUCUGGGUCUAUACAGUUAGCUAUGGUCAGUAUUUAGUAUCUGUAAUGGUUUGUCAAUAUAAAUGGUUGUUAAUUGACAAACCAGUUUCUGUGAAUUACAUGCAAAAAUUACAACGUAUUUAACAUGAAGUAAAAAAAUCACAACUAACAUUCUUAUUACAGUAUAGCUAAUAUGAAGUCAAAUCAUCUCUAACACCCCCUGAAAAUUCAUAACUAACAUGAAGUUAGAUUAAGAAACAUCAUCUCUAACACCCUCGAAACAAAAACUAGCUCUAAAUCCCAAACCCAAUUCCCAAUCACAUGCAUGAUUUCAAACAAAAAAACAUAGAGACAAGCUAUGAGAGAGAGAGAGAGAGAGAGAGAGAGAGAGAGAGAGAGAGAGAGAGAGAGAGAGAGAGAGAGAGAGAGAGAGAGAUAGCGUGGUGAGAGA